rnacentral:rRNA from 1 species
UAGAGUUUGAUCAUGGCUCAGGAUGAACGCUAGCGACAGGCCUAACACAUGCAAGUCGAGGGGCAUCGGGGCUAGGAGCAAUCCUUGCCGCCGGCGACCGGCGCACGGGUGAGUAACGCGUAUGCGACCUGCCCGUUGCAGGGGGAUAAUCGGGAGAAAUCCCGUCUAAUACCGCGUAAUGCCGCGGGGCUGCAUGGCCCUGCGGCCAAAGGGAGCGAUUCCGGCAACGGAUGGGCAUGCGUGACAUUAGCUAGUUGGCGGGGCAACGGCCCACCAAGGCGACGAUGUCUAGGGGUUCUGAGAGGAAGGUCCCCCACACUGGUACUGAGACACGGACCAGACUCCUACGGGAGGCAGCAGUGAGGAAUAUUGGUCAAUGGGCGCGAGCCUGAACCAGCCAAGUCGCGUGAGGGAUGACGGCCCUACGGGUUGUAAACCUCUUUUGUCGGGGAGCAAAUUCCGCCACGUGUGGCGGAGUCGAGAGUACCCGAAGAAAAAGCAUCGGCUAACUCCGUGCCAGCAGCCGCGGUAAUACGGAGGAUGCGAGCGUUAUCCGGAUUUAUUGGGUUUAAAGGGUGCGUAGGCGGACUGUCAAGUCAGCGGUAAAAUACGGGGGCUCAACCUCCGCCCGCCGUUGAAACUGACGGUCGUGAGUGGGCGAGAAGUAUGCGGAAUGCGUGGUGUAGCGGUGAAAUGCAUAGAUAUCACGCAGAACUCCGAUUGCGAAGGCAGCAUACCGGCGCCCAACUGACGCUGAAGCACGAAAGCGUGGGUAUCGAACAGGAUUAGAUACCCUGGUAGUCCACGCAGUAAACGAUGAAUGCUAACUGUCCGGUGCGAGUGAGCGCUGGGCGGUACAGCGAAAGCGUUAAGCAUUCCACCUGGGGAGUACGCCGGCAA